AGCUCAGUGGUUGGAGCUUUCGGCUGUUAACCGAAGAGUCAUUGGUUCAAAUCCAAU
rnacentral:tRNA from 1 species